rnacentral:misc_RNA from 1 species
UCAACCCUCAAGCCUGGCUUGGUGAUGGGGCACUGCUUUUACCCAAAAGCAGGCCCUGAAAUUCAGUGGCGAGCUCGCCAGGACCCCGAGCGCAGUAGUUAAACCCUCGCUCUGGAAGGCCCUGGCGGUGCCCUGCCGUUAAACCCCCAACUUCUGAAAAUUUGACCUCGGAUCAGGUAGGAAUACCCGCUGAACUUAAGCAUA